UAUAUUAAUUGAAAUUGUUAAUCUCCUUUAAAUUUGCAAAAGUUUAUUAUUUUUAUUUUUAUUUUAUCAAAUAAAACAUCAGACUUUCUACAAGAUGGUAAUGGGCUGGAGGGAUUCUGAAGAAAUUAAUCUUAAUUCAAAACAAUUUACAAAUUCUUGGCUAUCUGGAGAAAGGGUUGGGAUCCUGUACAUACUAUACAGAUGGUUUUUGUCAGUAUUCUUCAUAGUUUCUAUCAUCCAGUCAGUUGUAGCGAGUACUAUUUACUUCUUGGAUAAAUCUGAACCAGAGAACGUAUAUAAAUAUUUCAUUUAUCUCACAAAUAAUGGCAGAUGGUUGGCUUGCCUGGCUUACUCUGUAGAAGCUGGUUUAGUUACUGGACGGUUUUAUCAGGAGAAGAAAGGAAUUUAUAAAGAGUGCAUUGAUGAGGGGGAAUACACGCUACCUUUCUAUAUUAAGAUCAGCUGGUUUCUUAACAAUUGUACUUCUUCUAUUUCUGUGCUCAUAUGUACAGUAUACUGGACCCUACUGUACAAUGCAGAAAGACAACGAUUAGAUUUUGAAAACUUCUCUGGGCAUCUUUUGACAGCAAUUGUCUCAUUUAUCGAUAUUUGCGUAUCUGACAGACCCUGGAUACUCCUUCACUCCCUGCAACCUGUUCUAUUCUGUAUUAUCUACUGCUUCUUUAGCUUAAUAUACUUCAUGACUGGAGGAACCAACUACUACGGGAAACCCUAUGUUUACAAUAUCCUUGAUUGGCGUAGUCCCUGGAAAACCCUUGGUAUUGUAUUCCUGGUUACAAUCGCUUUAAUCAUCAUUCAUUCGACCUUCUAUGCAAUCUUCAGGUAUUGUAUUCCUGGAUACACUCUCUUUAAUCAUCAUUCAUUCGACCUUCUAUGCAAUCUUCAAGUAUUGUAUUCCUGGAUACACUCUCUUUAAUCAUCAUUCAUUCGACCUUCUAUGCAAUCUUCAGGUGUAGAGUCUUCUUAAAGAAGAAAUAUAACCCCAGGAAUGAGUGUUCUAGAGGCACAACAGAUCAAACCAAAGAAACCUUAC
rnacentral:misc_RNA from 1 species